GAAGCGGAGGAUGGUAAUCAUGGAUGAUCGAAAAUCGAAUUAAUUAAAAAGAAUUAAAAAAGGAGUUAAGUGGAACGUCUUGGUACUUUUUAUACGGAUAAAAAUGUCUGGAAAAGAAGAACUCGUUGAGAGGAAUAGAAAUCGGUCUCAUUUUGCAGCGAUGAAGAGAACGAAUCGACGAAUGAAACUAGGGAAAAAGAUUAUUUGGAACAAUUCUUCGAUUCGUCUAAUACCAAUUUUACCAAUUCGAGAUCAAUUUGCGGGACGUGUUUCGUUGUUAAACAAAAGAAAAAGAAAUUUUCAAGCGUACUUAUAUCGAAGAUUAUCAUGGGAUGAGAAACGAUGAAACUUUCUGGAUUGUUGUAAUACGUAAAAGAGUGUAACUACUGAACUAGAGGAUAAUUUUUGAACGAAGGUUAUAAAGAUAGUAUGGAAGUUGAGUUUGAACCAGUAAUGGUUGAAAGAUUAGUAACGAUGGAUUGGCAAAAAGUUUGGAGGAUCAUUACAUGGAUCAAUAUGUUACACGUAUGAGAUUCCAGUUUAAUGAUCGAUCUUGAUUUUAACAAUUACUUUGUUAAAAUGAAGAGAAAUAUUCGACAAAUGUUUGAAGAAAAUAUAUCUAUUUUUUCUUUUAAUACAACAUCAGAUAUAUUUUUUGCAGUCGUCUUAUCGUAAAAUUUCAAGAGGUCUUUUUGAAAACGUGGCUAACCCACCGGAAAAGGGAAUGAAAAAUUUUUGCUCUGAAAUUCAGGAACCGUCUUCAAAUAUGCAUAUUUCAAGGCGCGACCUCUUGAAAGGAAACGACGAAAAGUACCAUUUUCUUACUUCUCCGUUCUUUUACGAAUCAACUUUGAAUUACACAAUCUUAUUUUAAUCUUCCACACCUUUUUUUUUUUUUUCUUCUCCAAUAUUACGUUGUAAGAUCUAAAAUAAAUUAUUAGAAAUUAAAAA